GCAAACUUGGUCAUUUAGAGGAAGUAAAAGUCGUAACAAGGUCUCCGUAGGUGAACCUGCGGAGGGAUCAUUAACGAAUGGUCUUGGUACCUUCAAAACCCCUCAAACCAGUGGACAUGAAAAAUGUGCUUCGGCGCUCCGGCGCCGCUUUUAUGCUGUAAUUCUGUCGUUUGUGUCUGAAUACAAAACAAAGAAUUAAAACUUUCAACAAAGGAUCUCUUGGCUCUUUAGAGGAAGUAAAAGUCGUAACAAGGUCUCCGUAGGUGAACCUGCGGAGGGAUCAUUAACGAAUGGUCUUGGUACCUUCAAAACCCCUCAAACCAGUGGACAUGAAAAAUGUGCUUCGGCGCUCCGGCGCCGCUUUUAUGCUGUAAUUCUGUCGUUUGUGUCUGAAUACAAAACAAAGAAUUAAAACUUUCAACAAAGGAUCUCUUGGCUCUCGCAUCGAUGAAGAACGCAGC
rnacentral:misc_RNA from 1 species